AGUAUGCUGGCAGAUCAAGAAUGGUUGAAAUGAGAUUACUUCACACACAAAGUGAAUGCACAAUUCUUCAUCCGGAAAUGCCUAGUGAGAGAUUCAAAAUUGCCAAGUCUUCGGCCUUUGUGACUGAAAAUUUCAGAUAUACAUACACCUAAAACUGGUGUAAAAUAAAAAGAAAAAAACUAUGACCUCCAGGUAACUAUAAGAAAUGAGAGGCAAAAAAUAAAUGCAAACAAGGUUCAAGGCUGCACACUUAAAUCAAGAAAGCUCCAAUGUUCAAUCUCUAUGAGAAGUUGGUAUAGACUACAUUUAAGAUUGCAUUUAUAUAGUUUUCCUUGUAUAAAGCUUGACAGUUUUGACUGUAUUUAAGACAAUGUUUUUGAUAAUUCACUGAUGUUGGCAGCUGGGACUGCAUUUAAGACUGUUUUUUGGUAGUUCACUGAUGUUAGCAACUGUGACUGCUUUAAGAAUAAUUUAUUGGUGGCAGCUUUGACUGCAUGUUGUACUGUAAUUAGUUUAACAGUACUGAUCUUUUUGUAAAUGUAUUUGACAAUAAGAUGUAAUUGACACUCAUUUUUGUUUAA